CUACGGGUCGCUGCAGUGAGGAAUUUUGCGCAAUGGGGGAAACCCUGACACAGCAACGCCGCGUGAGCGAAGAAGGCCCUCGGGUCGUAAAGCUCUGUCAAGUGGGAAAAAAAUUUUUGAUCAAUAGUCAAAAGACUUGAUGGUACCACUGGAGGAAGCACCGGCUAACUCCGUGCCAGCAGCCGCGGUAAUACGGAGGGUGCAAGCGUUGUUCGGAUUUACUGGGCGUAAAGAGCGUGUAGGCGGUUUAGCAAGUCAGAUGUGAAAGCCCUGGGCUCAACCCGGGAAGUGCAUUUGAAACUGCUUCACUAGAGUAUGGGAGAGGAGAUUGGAAUUCCUGGUGUAGAGGUGAAAUUCGUAGAUAUCAGGAGGAACACCUGUGGCGAAGGCGAUUCUCUGGACCAAUACUGACGCUGAGACGCGAAAGCGUGGGGAGCAAACAGGAUUAGAUACCCGUGUAGUC
rnacentral:rRNA from 1 species